CUCCAGUCUCCACUGAUCAUUUCAUCAUCGUCAUCGGAGGGCAAGAGAGAGACGACCAGAAGAAGCAGCAGCGUCAAUGGCGAAGCCACUGGGAACUACCGGGGAGUUUUUCAGGCGACGCGACGAGUGGCGGAAGCAUCCGAUGCUGACCAAUCAGUGGCGCCACGCCACACCUGGCCUCGGGAUCGCACUCGUGGCCUUCGGAAUCUACCUCGUCGGUGAGACUGCCUACAACAAGAUCUAUGCCCCCAAGUCUCAUUCCCACAGUCACUCCAUCUCUUCUGCUUCUCACUGAACCUCGGCCCUGGGUAUCUAAACUUCACCUCAAAGUUCAGAGCAGAUGACAAAACUGGGAUUUCCCCUUGGCCAAGAUGAACAUCUGGUGUCAAAGAAUGAAGAGGAUCAUGUUUCUCACUUUACAGCUCCAUUUCUGCGAGUGAUUAAAUAAAGCAUUCCCUGGACUUGUUUGUUGACUCCAAUCAACUACAACUUUGAAUUUGUAUCCAAGAUAAGAAAGACAGUUUUUUCAAUGGCUUAUCUCUUAUAUCUCA